AUUGAACGCUGGCGGCAGGCCUAACACAUGCAAGUCGAGCGAGCGGCGGACGGGUGAGUAAUGUAUGGGGAAUGACCGAUAGAGGGGGAUAACUACUGGAAACGGUGGCUAAUACCGCAUACUAUCGGAUAACCCAUAUGGGAUUAGCUAGUAGGUGGGAUUACGGCUCACCUAGGCGACAAUCUCUAGCUGGUCUGAGAGGAUGAUCAGCCACACUGGGCUGGAGACACGCCCCAUACCCCUACGGAGGCAGCAGUGGGGAAUAUUGCACAAGGGGCGCAAGCCUGAAGCAGCCAUGCCGCGUGUAUGAAGAAGGCCUUAGGGUUGUAAAGUCCUUUCAGCGGGGAGUCGUACCCGCAGAAGAAGCACCGGCUAACUCCGUGCCAGCAGCCGCGGUAAUAC
rnacentral:rRNA from 1 species